UAAGGUAGCGAAAUUCCUGUACGGGUAAGUUCCGACCUGCACGAAUGGUGUAACGAUCGUGGCACUGUCUCAGCCACGAGCUCGGUGAAAUUGUAGUAGCGGUGAAGAUGCCGCUUACCCGCAACGGGACGGAAAGACCCCGUGAACCUUUACUGCAGCUUCGCAUUGACUCUGGGUAAGUGAUGUGUAGGAUAGGACGGAGGCUUUGAAGCGGUUUUCGCCAGGAAUCGUGGAGCCAUCCUUGAAAUACGUCCCUUUUGCUUACUUGGAGCCUAACCCCGAGUUCUCGGGGGACAUUGCGUGGUGGGUAGUUUGACUGGGGUGGUCGCCUCCAAAAGAGUAACGGAGGCUUCUAAAGGUACCCUCAUGGCGAUUGGUAACCGCCAGCAGAGUGUAAUGGUAUAAGGGUGCUUGACUGUGAGACCGACGGGUCGAUCAGGUAGGAAACUAGAGCAUAGUGAUCCGGUGGUUCCGCAUGGUAAGGGCCAUCGCUCAAAGGAUAAAAGGUACUCCGGGG
rnacentral:rRNA from 1 species